rnacentral:rRNA from 1 species
GACGAACGCUGGCGGCGUGCUUAACACAUGCAAGUCGAACGGUGAACCUGCUUCGGUGGGGGAUCAGUGGCGAACGGGUGAGUAACACGUGGGCAACCUGCCCUCAGCUCUGGGAUAACUCCAAGAAAUUGGGGCUAAUACUGGAUAUGACCGCUGACCGCAUGGUCUGUUGGUGGAAAGAUUUAUCGGCUGGGGAUGGGCCCGCGGCCUAUCAGCUUGUUGGUGGGGUAGUGGCCUACCAAGGCGACGACGGGUAGCCGGCCUGAGAGGGUGACCGGCCACACUGGGACUGAGAUACGGCCCAGACUCCUACGGGAGGCAGCAGUGGGGAAUAUUGCGCAAUGGGCGGAAGCCUGACGCAGCGACGCCGCGUGGGGGAUGACGGCCUUCGGGUUGUAAACCGCUUUCGGCAGGGACGAAGCGAAAGUGACGGUACCGGGAGAAGAAGCACCGGCUAACUACGUG